rnacentral:rRNA from 1 species
UACGUAGGGGGCAAGCGUUGUCCGGAAUCAUUGGGCGUAAAGAGCGUGUAGGCGGCUUGGCAAGUCUGACGUGAAAGCCCGCGGCUCAACCGCGGAUUGUCGUUGGAAACUGCCUCGCUAGAGUCCGGAAGAGGAGAGCGGAAUUCCUGGUGUAGCGGUGGAAUGCGCAGAUAUCAGGAGGAACACCAGUGGCGAAGGCGGCGACCUGGGCCAAUAUUGACGCUGAGGUGCGAAAGCGUGGGGAGCAAACAGG